rnacentral:rRNA from 1 species
AAUCAACGCUGGCGGCGUGCCUCAGACAUGCAAGUCGAACGAUUAAAGCUCUCUUCGGAGAGUGUAUAGAGUGGCGCACGGGUGAGUAACACGUAAGUAAUCUACCUUUGAGUGGGGAAUAACAGUCGGAAACGACUGCUAAUACCGCAUAAUGCAGCGGCACCGCAAGGUGACAGUUGUUAAAGGAGCAAUUCGCUUAAAGAGGAGCUUGCGGCAGAUAGCUUGUUGGUAAGGUAACGGCUUACCAAGGCUACGAUCUGUAUCCGGUCUUAGAGGACGGUCGGACACACUGACACUGAAUAACGGGUCAGACUCCUACGGGAGGCAGCAGUCGGGAAUUUUGGGCAAUGGGCGAAAGCCUGACCCAGCAACGCCGCGUGAAGGAUGAAGUAUUUCGGUAUGUAAACUUCGAAAGAAUAGGAAGAAUAAAUGACGGUACUAUUUAUAAGGUCCGGCUAACUACGUGCCAGCCGCCGCAAGUAAAACCUAAGACUGCCAAGGCACACA